UACGGAGGGUGCGAGCGUUGUCCGGAAUUAUUGGGCGUAAAGAGCUCGUAGGCGGUCUGUCGCGUCGGCUGUGAAAACUCGGGGCUCAACUCCGAGCUUGCAGUCGAUACGGGCAGGCUAGAGUUCGGCAGGGGAGACUGGAAUUCCUGGUGUAGCGGUGAAAUGCGCAGAUAUCAGGAGGAACACCGGUGGCGAAGGCGGGUCUCUGGGCCGAUACUGACGCUGAGGAGCGAAAGCGUGGGGAGCAAACAGG
rnacentral:rRNA from 1 species